rnacentral:lncRNA from 1 species
GAAGCAGGAGAAUCACUUGAACCUGGGAGGUGGAGGUUGCAGUGAGCCGAGAUCACGCCACUGCACUCCAGCCUGAGCGACAGAGCAAGACUCCGUCUCAAAAAGAACAGGAUUUCAGCAAGUGAAGGGGAAGGGAGAGAGCAUUCCCUGCUGACGGAACAGCAGAAGCAAAGGCAUGGGAGUCACACAGUCCAGUGGGUGUUGGAGGACAGAUGAACAGCUUGCGGUGGCCAGGGUCUUGGAAGGCCAGGAGAGGAGCUUAUGUUCUUUCCUGAGGGAAAUGGGGAGCCACUGAAGGUUUUAAAGCAGGGCAAGUGCCACGUCCAGCAA